rnacentral:lncRNA from 1 species
AGUUCGGGGUGCUGGACCUCAACAACGACGGCGUCCUCUCGCGCUCGGAGCUCCGCACGGCCUUCGAGUCCAUGCGCCUCAUCGAGACGCACUUCGGCAUCGACGUCGCCACGCCGCCGGAUCAGCUCGCGAAGCUCUACGACUCCAUCUUCGACAAGUUCGACGGCGACCGGAGCGGCGCCGUCGACCGCCGCGAGUUCCGGGAUGAGAUGAGGAAGAUCAUGCUCGCCAUCGCCGACGGCCUCGGCUCCUUCCCCAUCCGCAUGGUCCUCGAGGAUGAUCCCAAUAGUCUUCUUCAGAAAGCUGCAGAUCUCGAAGCUUCCAAG